UGCACUUGAGAUCGCUUUGGUUC
rnacentral:piRNA from 1 species